UCUACUAAUAGUAGCUCCAUUCUCCAUCCUUUCUCAGGUUUCUUGGUGAGAUUGGUUAUCUAUGUCCAGUCCUCUGUCUUCAUCUCUGUCUCUCUCUCAUCGAGUUUGGGGUUUGUAAUAUAUCUGCGACCAUUACACCAGAUACACUGAGAUUUGGUUCUCUUCAACAAAUUUCUGAAUACCUAGCUGCCAUGAAGAAGGCUGCAGGGAUCGAAAUGGUAGUUUUUUCUUGCAUCUUCAACAACUAUCUUUGAACCAGAUAGGAUUUUUUAGGAGUUUGGCCUAACCUUUGUUCUUGGGUAGGCAGAUUCAAACGCGCUUCAUCAAGUUAGAACAGAAGAGCUCGGAAUGGUUGUUAAUAUUGUUUGUUGCUUCUGUCUGCUUGUGUAAUCGCUUCAGUUUCACCGGCUCACGGCCGCAUUGGCGAAUGGCGAUCGAGGAGCAACUGUUGUGCGAGAAACCUUACACCACACGUUCUACGACGAUAACUUCUUGGGGCGUGCAGCGUGCGCUCUUGUACUGCAACAAGUCCCUAGAUAUGUUUCUCCCUAUGCCGCAACGCAAUUGCCAAAAAAAUAAAAAUAAAAACUCUUCUGAUCUACAGAACACUGCACGUUGAAGCUACUUUUCCUACAUUUUGUUUUCCACUUUCUGAUUUUUCGACGCAUAAUGUAUAAAAAAGUUUCUCUUGUAGGUUUUGAAUCACGCGUUUCAAAAAAGUUCUUCAGCCUCGGUGUUUUUCCAUUUCCCUACUGUUUUUCUUCCUCUCUUUUAUUUUACUUUUUAGUAUUUAUCCAUGAUGUAAAAUAAAGAAUCGCCUUUUUGGUAAGACGCUGCUGUAAAUAAAGAGUCCCGCUCACCCAGAAAAAAGUUGGCUAUAUACCUCGUGUUUCUUUCCAUGGUGAAGGUUCAAGCUAGGGUUUGUGGAAUCAUAACCAGAACAAAGAAGCUCAGCGACGUAUCUUCUAUCUCAUCAGCUACUACUACGUGUUUCUGUAGGAGUAAGAUUCCCACUGUCGUCUUUGGUGGAAUUAUUUUACGACAUUUCUCCUGUCCAUUAACGUGACUGGAGUGAAAGAAUAGAAGACCAAAUUUAUAUUUAAUUAUUACAUUUCUUUCUCUGUGUAGUGAAUUGUCCUGCAACAGAAAAAAAAAAUUCCUUCU